GGUACUAUGGCCGAGCGGUCUAAGGCGCAAGAUUCAAGCUUCCAUGAUAGCUUGCACCCCCACUUCGAGGGUGUUGACCCCAUCCCCCUAACCCCCUCCCCUUGUUCAUCUCCGGUUCGAGUCCGGAUGGUACCA